UGCCGGCCUUCCACCGCCGGCUCGGGUCACCGAAGAGGCUUGUUCAUCAUUGCCGGGCGUGCGGAAGGGGACUCCCUUUCCAAUCCAAGGCAGCACACGGACGGGUGAAGAACCCUUCGCGGCUGGCGCGUCCCCAUCGCGUGUCGCCUGUGGAGCUUUUCA
rfam:Rhodovulum sp. PH10 contig89, whole genome shotgun sequence.